GUUUUGACCAACGGCCUGGCCUGCAAGUUCAAUUGGGCAGGAAAAACCUGCACACACACCUGAAGGGAUGCAAAGCAGCCCUUCAAAGACACAGCCCUGCAAGACUGCAUGUUUGUUGCUUCUCGGCAGUGUGACCGCAAACUCACACAGCAGGCCUUCAGCGACAUUGUGAAACAUUGGCUACGUUACGCCCCUUGGCGUGCAGGAGGCAUCAACAAAAAUGUCCUCUUCAUAUGGGCUAUGGCCCUUGUUGGUCUGUGAUUACACAUGUGAUUACACUAAUUCGCCUUUUCUUGUUGGUAUCUUUUGUGGUGAAGGCAAGCCAAAGAUUCUUUCAGUACCUUCAACAAUUUGAUUAUUUAAUUUGUUUUUUCUAAUAAAUGUUUUUAUCACUAAAAUCUAAAUGAA